rnacentral:lncRNA from 1 species
CAGCAAUAGACGCUUCCAAUGAAGAUAUCGUGGCCACCAAAGGACAAAGGCAAGAAGUUAAUUCCUGAAGUCGAGGAUCUUUCAGUUCCAGUUGUUCCAUCCACGUGUCCAGCUGGUGAUAUCAAAUUGACUAAUCUCUACUGGCUCUCUCCAUCAACAUCUCAAGGGUCGAGCAACCCUAAUCUGAAAAUCCAAAAUCUGAAAUGCUCCAAAAUCUAAAAUGUUUUGAGUGCCGAUAUGAUGCCAGAAGUAGAAAAUUCUACACCUGAUCUCAAGUGACUCAGUAAAAACAAAGAACCUGACAGGAAGCCAGCUGGCAAUGAAGUCUGGGAAAUAUCGUGCCCCAGCAUCACAAGGCAGAGAAUUGAAGAGUGAUAUGGAAUCAAGAGACAAUAAAUGAAUAACUGGCAUAUACACUGUGAAUGUUAGGGCAUGAAUAAAAUUUUGAGACCUCAUUCUAUUGAAAUAAUUAGUAAUGUAAAACACUCACUACAUUUUAAGCCAUUGUAUUUUGGUUAUUUGUUAAUGAUAAAUGGAAGAUAAUAUUUGGUGUUGAAGAGGAUAAGAACUGAUUAAAGAAUGACUUGGUUUACAAAACUUUUAAACUCUUUUCUAUCUCCAGGCAAGAAACUAAUUAAUUGAUUCUUGUACUUAAAAUAUAUUAGUGAAUAAAACAAAUACUUUUCAGUUCUCAUGGAACAGACAACAAUAAGCAUAACAAUGAAACCAAAGAACAAAAUGAAGGCAUAAAAAAUCAUGAACAUCGUCAACAGGAUGUCAACAUGACACCAAACAGCAUAAUAUAUUGUUAAGACGAGCAUCUAAUCUGGUGACUGAAAUUUCUAUACAUUUGGCAUUUUCACAGAAGACAGAAAUGCAGGCAGCAGUCCAACAAUCCAGUCACAAAGAAAGCCUCAGUGCAUUGGAUUUGAAAUAAGCACAACAGUUUGUCUGAGUGACUGAGAAAAUACCCAUUGAUAGAACUGGCUCCUAAACUCUGGCCUGAUUUCUAAUAUGCUGGUUAAUUAACAUCUAAUUUUUUUUUACUAUGUUGAUCAAGAAUGUUGUUUUUGUGGUUGGUGGGGUUUACAUUAUAGAUAUUAAAAUUGUUUACAUGGUGCAAUGACUGAUAAAACCCUGAAGUUCUAAGCCCUCUAGAAGAGGAAAUUUAUUUAUGAUAAUAAUAAUUACUAUUUUAUACCAUACAAGAUACAUACACACACACGUGCAUGCACACACACAAACACACACACACACACACACAGUACUUCCCUGUUUAUCUGAUGGGGAUGUGUUUCAAGACCCUCAGUGGAUGACUGAAACCACAGAUAGUACUGAACCCUAUCCGUACUCUGUUUUUCUCCUAUACACACAAACCUGUGGUAAAGUUUAAUUUAUAAAUUAGGUACAGUAAGAGAUGAACAACAACAAUAAAAUGGAACAAUAUAACAAUAUACUAUAAUAAAAAUUAUGUGAACGUGUCUCUUAAGUUAUCUUAUUGUGCUAUACUCACCUAUUUUUGGACUUUGGUUGACUCUGGGUAACAGAAACUGCAGAAAG